rnacentral:rRNA from 1 species
AUGGAGGCUGCUGCGGGGGUGAGCGCCGCCAGUAAUGGCGGGAGGCGCCCGCUGCGGGUGUUCUUCCUGCCCUUCUUCGCGCGGGGGCACCUCAUCCCGCUGACGGACCUGGCGUGCCGCAUGGCCGCGGCAAGGCCAGCGGAGGUGGAGGCCACGAUGGUGGUGACGCCGGCCAACGCGAUGCUGAUCGCCACCACGGUCACGCGCGCCGUGGACGCAGGCCACGCGGUGCGCCUGCUCCGCUACCCGUUCCCGGACGUCGGCCUCGAGAGCGGGGUGGAGUGCCUCGGCGCCGUCGCCAAGCACGACGCCUGGCGGGUGUUCCGCGCCGUCGACCUCUCGCAGCCGAUUCACGAGAAGCUGCUCCUGGAGCACCGCCCCGACGCCGUUGUUGCCGAUGUGCCCUUCUGGUGGGUCACGGACAUCGCCGCGAAGAUCGGCGUGCCGCGCCUCACGUUCCACCCCGUCGGCAUCUUCGCGCAACUCGCCAUGAACAACCUCUACGCCAUCCGCUCGGACAUAAUCCGGGACGGCGUUGCCGCCCCGUCAGUCAUCGUGCCGGGGAUGCCAGGGAAGGAGAUCGCCAUCCCGCCGUCGGAGCUCCCGGAGUUCCUCCUGCAGGACGCCGUUCUUUCUAUGGAGUGGGACAACAUCAAGGCGGCCCAGCUCGCCGGCUUCGGAGUGAUCGUGAACACCUUCGCCGACCUCGAAAAACCGUACUGCGACGAGUACAGACGCGUCGACGCGCGCCGCGCCUACUUCGUCGGCCCCGUCAGCUUGCCGUUGGACUCCGCCGUACACCGGGGCGGCGAUGGCAACAUGGACUGUCUAGAGUGGCUGUCGACCAAGCCGAGCCGAUCGGUGGUGUACGCCUGCUUCGGGAGCUGGGCUUGCUUCUCAACACGCCAGAUCCGGGAGCUCGCGCUGGGGCUGGAGGCCUCGAACAAGCCAUUCCUGUGGGUGGUCCGCUCCGAGGACUCCGACGGCCUGUGGGCGCCGGAGGGAUGGGAGCAGCGCGUUGCCGACCGCGGCAUGGUCGUCCGAGGGUGGGCACCGCAGCUGGCGGUGCUGGCCCACUCGUCGGUGGGCGCGUUCCUGACGCACUGCGGGUGGAACUCGGUGCUGGAGGCUGCGUCGGCAGGCUUGCCGGUGCUGACGUGGCCGCUGGUGUUCGAGCAGUUCAUCAACGAGCGGCUGGUCACCGAGGUGGCGACGUUCGGCGCGCGCUUGUGGGACGGCGGCAAGCGCAACGUGAGAGUGGAGGACGCGGACACCGUGCCAGCAGAGGCGAUCGGUCGGGCGGUGGCCGGGUUCAUGGAGGGCGGAGAGCGGUGGGAGAAGAUGAGGGCAAGAGCAGGGGAGCUGGCUGACAGGGCGCGUGCCGCGGUCAGCGAGAGCGGGUCGUCGUGGCGCGAUUUACACCGCGUGAUCGACGAUCUGACUGAGGCUAACGCCUCGAGGGUUCGCAGCAACGAGGACUCAUAG